rnacentral:misc_RNA from 1 species
GAUGAAGAACGUAGCGAAAUGCGAUACGUAGUGUGAAUUGCAGAAUUCAGUGAAUCAUCGAAUCUUUGAACGCACAUUGCGCCCCCUGGUAUUCCGGGGGGCAUGCCUGUUCGAGCGUCAUUUCACCACUCAAGCCUCGCUUGGUAUUGGGCAACGCGGUCCGCCGCGUGCCUCAAAUCGACCGGCUGGGUCUUCUGUCCCCUAAGCGUUGUGGAAACUAUUCGCUAAAGGGUGUUCGGGAGGCUACGCCGUAAAACAACCCCAUUUCUAAGGUUGACCUCGGAUCAGGUAGGGAUACCCGCUGAACUUAAGCAUAUCAAUAAGCGGAGGA